rnacentral:tRNA from 1 species
CCUGGGCCUGGCGCAGGGGUAUUGCCGCGGCCGCGGCGGCUCGAUGCACCUGCAGUGGUUCGAAGCCGGCGCCCUGGGC